ensembl:snRNA U1 U1 spliceosomal RNA
ACACUUAUCUGGCAGGAUAGAUACCAUGAUCAUGAAGGUGGUUCCCAGAGUGAGGCUCAUCCAUUGCACUCUGGUUGUGCUGACCCCUGUGAUUUCCUCAAAUGCAGAAUUUGUAGUAGUGAGGGACUGUGUUCGUGCUUUUCCCCU